AUUGAACGUUGGCGGCAUGCCUUACACAUGCAAGUCGAACGGCAGCGCGGACUUCGGUCUGGCGGCGAGUGGCGAACGGGUGAGUAAUACAUCGGAACGUACCCUGUUGUGGGGGAUAACUAGUCGAAAGAUUAGCUAAUACCGCAUACGACCUGAGGGUGAAAGUGGGGGACCGCAAGGCCUCACGCAGCAGGAGCGGCCGAUGUCUGAUUAGCUAGUUGGUGGGGUAAAGGCCCACCAAGGCGACGAUCAGUAGCUGGUCUGAGAGGACGAUCAGCCACACUGGGACUGAGACACGACCCAGACUCCUACGGGAGGCAGCAGUGGGGAAUUUUGGACAAUGGGGGCAACCCUGAUCCAGCAAUGCCGCGUGCGUGAAGAAGGCCUUCGGGUUGUAAAGCACUUUUGUCCGGAAAGAAAUCGCGCUGGUUAAUACCUGGCGUGGAUGACGGUACCGGAAGAAUAAGCACCGGCUAACUACGUGCCAGCAGCCGCAGUAACAC
rnacentral:rRNA from 1 species